rnacentral:tRNA from 1 species
GUGGGCGUAGUUCAACGGUAGAACAUCGGCUUCCAAACCCGAAGAUGUUGGUUCGACUCCAUCCGCCUAUG